AUUGAACGCUGGCGGCAGGCUUAACACAUGCAAGUCGAGCGAGUGGCGGACGGGUGAGUAAUGUAUGGGAAACUGCCUGAUAGAGGGGGAUAACUACUGGAAACGGUAGCUAAUACCGCAUACCAUCGGAUGUGCCCAGAUGGGAUUAGCUAGUAGGUGGGGUAAAGGCUCACCUAGGCGACGAUCUCUAGCUGGUCUGAGAGGAUGACCAGCCACACUGGAACUGAGACACGGUCCAGACUCCUACGGGAGGCAGCAGUGGGGAAUAUUGCACAAUGGGCGCAAGCCUGAUGCAGCCAUGCCGCGUGUAUGAAGAAGGCCUUCGGGUUGUAAAGUACUUUCAGCGGGGAGGCGUUACCCGCAGAAGAAGCACCGGCUAACUCCGUGCCAGCAGCCGCGGUAAUUC
rnacentral:rRNA from 1 species